rnacentral:lncRNA from 1 species
GCCGCCUUUCCACCUGAGGGCAGAGAAGAGAGGCGGAGAAGAGAACAGCAUGACUCCGGAGGGAGAGAGGAGAGGGAAAAGAGGAAGGGGAGAGAGGGAGAGGGGGGAGAAAGAGAAGGAGGAAAGGGAAGGGGAAAGAGAGAGGGGGAGGAAGGGAGAGGGGGGAGAGAGGGACGGGGUAGAGAGGGGAGAGAGGAGAGAGGUAGAGGGGUUAGGGAGGAAAGAGUAAGGGGAGAGGGAGGGAAUGGGAGAGUAGAGAGGGGGAAGGAGAGAGAGGGAGGAAGGGGAGGGGGGAAGGGAAGGGAAAAGAGGGGGAGGGAGAGGGGGAGAGAGGGACAGGGUAGAGAGGGGAGAGACAAGAGGGAGGGAAGAGUAAAGGGGGGAGAGGGAUGGGGUAGAGGGGGGAGAGAGAGGGAGGAGAGGGAUGGGGGAAAGAGGGAGGGAGGAGGGAAAGAAAGGGAGGGGAGAGGGAGGAAGGGAGAGAGAGAGAGAGGAGCUGAGCCUUCAAGCAGGAAUGUUUCUAAAAUGGAUAGAAACGAUCCUUCCAUGGUGGGGAAGGCAGGGAGAAAGCGGUGCUGCCCCUCAGCCCCAAUGCCGGCGAAAUCCCCCCCUUUUCAAACACCGCUCCUCCUUCCUCCGGUUGAUUCUGACGAUGCGAAAAAACAGGGCGCUUCCAUGAAGCCGAAAUCCUCUGCCUAUUUUUUCAAUUGCACCGGUUCAAAUCCUUCCGGGAGGGAGGCAAGAUUCCCGGCUUUCCACACGGUGCUCGGGGUGGGUGGGGAAAUCAAGGGCAGAGGCAGGAAGGACCCACAGCCAGAUCCUGAAGGUCCGAAACCUGCUCGUCCGAAACUGCCCCAAAGGGUGAAAGCUGCAGGCAGCCAUCGGCCCGGCCGAGCAGGAAGGGCUGAGUUGUUAACAACGGCUGAAAGCCGAGCCUGGAUACGUCCACCCUCCUUCCUGGUGAUGACCCAAUUCCUGAACCAGAGAUCCCAAAUAAUAAGAUCCCAAAGUAAAUAA